rnacentral:lncRNA from 1 species
CCCAGAUGGCUCCUGCCCCAGCACAGCUGGAAACUCCGGAAGGAGGAGGCGGGUCCUGCUGGCCUCAUCCUUGGUCUCCGGAGAGGUGGCCAGGACAAGGUGGGAGGUGGAGGCCGGGCUGGCUCUGGGGAGCCAGGGCUGUGACAGCAACCUUCGACCGAAGGUCUGUCCAUGGGGAAUGUGCUGCCUGGAGAGGCGAGGCCCCUGAGGCUGCGUCAGCUGCUCUGGAGUCCACCCUGACCCUCUACCCCUCCUCCUCCAGGCAGCCUUCUGUGACCUCUGCCCUGGCCCUCAUUGCCUCUGCUGCACCCCAGGCCUAAGGGUGGCACUUCAGGGAGAGGAGGACUCAGCCCUCUCCUGAUCCCGAGCAUCUGCUGAAUGGCUGCUUCCCUGGGACUCCUGAGCGUCCAGUGGACAUAUUCCCUGAGGGCUCAUUACCCUAAGGAACAGCAGUCUGGGCCCUGGACAGACAGGGUCUGCUUUGAAGCCCGGCCUGGUGACCCCUCCAGACACAAGGGAGGGCCUGGGGACAAGCCAUGCUGAGGCCUUCCGAGGCAGUGGCUCGCUAGUAGGUCACAGGGGAGUCCUCAGGGUCACUCUGGCUUGUCCUGGGCAACCAUCAAACCCUCUCCUUCCUGAAACUGGAAUGUGAUGGAGAUGCUGGACCCACGUGCAAUGGUGGAGAUAGAAGGGGGACAAGGCACAGCCAGUCUUGCCGCUGGGACUCUCCUGAAAACGGAAUUCUACGCAGGAUCAGCAGGAUCCAAUAAAAGGGGUGUCAUGAGGGCACCUCAAGGAGGUAACGGAGGUGCAAAGUCCCGGGGUCCAAUGAGCUCAGUGGCUCUUGGGAGCAUUUGGGGGACACCUCCCAGAAGCCAAAGCUACGUUGGCACGGAUGAUCACAGUUUGAGGGGAAUAGGGGCUCCUGGGCCUGCGGUGGA